UAAAUGUCUCCUGUAAAUCUAUUAGUGUCCAUAUAUAAUUUACUCUUCACGUUGCUCUUUUGGAGCUGUCAAGUGUCUUUGACAGUAUCCAGCUUUCUUUAAAACCUUAAACGUGACCCUUUGUAACUACUUAUUCUUAGAACAGUGAAAAUGUUUGUUCUUUCAUGAAUUUAUAAAAUGUUUUUAAUUAUAAAUCAAACAAAGUUAUUUCUUUUCUUUGGCAAUCCAGGAGGGGAGAACCAGUUAACCAGUCCCACCUGCCUGGCGAAGCAGCAUCCAAAGGAGCAGCAGCAUUCUCAGGAUUAAAGGAGGAAAAAGGAAAUGAAAUGCAUUGCUAAUUUAGGCCAAUGAAGAUGGGUUUGGUUGGCAUGUCUCACAGCUCUUACCUAUAGAGGCAACUGAGUGUUCUUAAAACCUGGACUGGUGCUGCUCACCAAUUGAGAUCAUACCCAGGUAGGAAAGAAGCUCCAGAAGCCAGAAUGUGAUCUUGUGUGCUGUUGAAAGGAAGGAGGAACAGCAAGGAGGGACGUUUGGUGACCAGGCUCUGGAGGUGGGUCAGCUCUUCAGACCCCCACAAACUACUGCUGUCUGCUUUAGUUACUUAGGGUGCUGCUCAACCCUCAUCCUGUCAGAGCUUCGUGCUAAAGCAUCUGCUGAAUGGGGCACCUGAGACCAGAACCCCCUGCUUCAAUAGAGGGGAAAAAGGAACUUCAGGAGCCAAAAAUGUUUGCUGUUUGCUGACAGUGUAGUCCCUACAGGGGGAUGCUGUGCGCGGGGCUGUAGAACAGCAGAGCCCUGUCCUCCCCCGGGCUCCUCAGGCAGAACCGAU
rnacentral:lncRNA from 1 species